GAUGAACGCUGGCGGCGUGCCUAAUACAUGCCAGUCGAGCGAACGGACGAGAAGCUUGCUUCUCUGAUGUUAGCGGCGGACGGGUGAGUAACACGUGGAUAACCUACCUAUAAGACUGGGAUAACUUCGGGAAACCGGAGCUAAUACCGGAUGAUAUUUUGAACCGCAUGGUUCAAAAGUGAAAGACGGUCUUGCUGUCACUUAUAGAUGGAUCCGCGCUGCAUUAGCUAGUUGGUAAGGUAACGGCUUACCAAGGCAACGAUGCAUAGCCGACCUGAGAGGGUGAUCGGCCACACUGGAACUGAGACACGGUCCAGACUCCUACGGGAGGCAGCAGUAGGGAAUCUUCCACAAUGGGCGAAAGCCUGACGGAGCAACGCCGCGUGAGUGAUGAAGGUCUUCGGAUCGUAAAACUCUGUUAUUAGGGAAGAACAUAUGUGUAAGUAACUGUGCACAUCUUGACGGUACCUAAUCAGAAAGCCACGGCUAACUACGUG
rnacentral:rRNA from 1 species